rnacentral:lncRNA from 1 species
UUCCUCACUCAUCUGCAACCUCUGUCUCUCUCUCCAUCUAAACAUCUGGGAUUCUUCUUCUACUACUUAUCCAGCGAUACACAAACCCGUUCCCAUGGUGGUUAUAGAUCUGCGAUUGACAAAUAGAGAGACAGAGACGUACGGUGAUUAUAGAGUGAGAAGCAGAGAUAGAGAUUGGCAUUGCCUCGCUGUUGCCGGCGGCGACGGACUUAAAGCGUGUGUUCCUUCAUUUGCUCUCUGUUUCUCACUUUAAAUUUUUUGCAUUGAGUAGAUGAUAUAGCGAUGGUGUUGGUUUUUUACCGACGACCCUAUUCGGUCGUCUUGUGUUUCCAAUCAGUGGCCAUGAUGAAUUGAAGUUUAUCCUAAAAUCGAUGACCAUGAUGCUAACUUCAUCGAUUAACCAAAUAGGGUGGUGCUGAUCAUGGGAGUGUUGUUCUUGAUGGACAACAUCUUGAAUAUAUGCUGAAUUUGGUUUGGUUCGAAGGAGUUGAUUAGUAGGGACGUCGUUGGACUCUAGAAGUGCAUUUUUGGGAAGGGAUUGAUGGAUAGUACUGAUGAUUUGAGUUUCAAAAUUAUUUUUUCUGGAGAUGGAGCUGGAAGGUUGCGGGAUCGAGUGAGGGAAAAGCUGAAGGAAUUUAUGGGCGACUGCACAUAUGACACUCUUGUGGGUUCACGAAAGGGCUGUGAUGAGUUUGAGGGCCUGAGAAAAGGUUACUGAAGCUAUUUGCAGGUACGCGCUGUGUGCAAGCCUUUGAAGGCGUUUGGAAUACAUAAAGUGAGUCUACAUUCAAGGGCCUCCGUAGAUCAUCAGGUUCAUGGGUAAUAUACGUAAACCUUUGUAAACUUAACUACAGCAAACAGUGCAUGCAGAUAUGAUUCUUU